rnacentral:rRNA from 1 species
AGCGUACACGGUGGAUGCCCUGGCAGUCAGAGGCGAUGAAGGACGUGCUAAUCUGCGAUAAGCGUCGGUAAGGUGAUAUGAACCGUUAUAACCGGCGAUUUCCGAAUGGGGAAACCCAGUGUGAUUCGUCACACUAUCAUUAACUGAAUCCAUAGGUUAAUGAGGCGAACCGGGGGAACUGAAACAUCUAAGUACCCCGAGGAAAAGAAAUCAACCGAGAUUCCCCCAGUAGCGGCGAGCGAACGGGGAGGAGCCCAGAGCCUGAAUCAGUGUGUGUGUUAGUGGAAGCGUCUGGAAAGGCGCGCGAUACAGGGUGACAGCCCCGUACACAAAAAUGCACAUGCUGUGAGCUCGAUGAGUAGGGCGGGACACGUGGUAUCCUGUCUGAAUAUGGGGGGACCAUCCUCCAAGGCUAAAUACUCCUGACUGACCGAUAGUGAACCAGUACCGUGAGGGAAAGGCGAAAAGAACCCCGGCGAGGGGAGUGAAAAAGAACCUGAAACCGUGUACGUACAAGCAGUGGGAGCCUCUUUAUGGGGUGACUGCGUACCUUUUGUAUAAUGGGUCAGCGACUUAUAUUCUGUAGCAAGGUUAACCGAAUAGGGGAGCCGAAGGGAAACCGAGUCUUAACUGGGCGUUAAGUUGCAGGGUAUAGACCCGAAACCCGGUGAUCUAGCCAUGGGCAGGUUGAAGGUUGGGUAACACUAACUGGAGGACCGAACCGACUAAUGUUGAAAAAUUAGCGGAUGACUUGUGGCUGGGGGUGAAAGGCCAAUCAAACCGGGAGAUAGCUGGUUCUCCCCGAAAGCUAUUUAGGUAGCGCCUCGUGAAUUCAUCUCCGGGGGUAGAGCACUGUUUCGGCAAGGGGGUCAUCCCGACUUACCAACCCGAUGCAAACUGCGAAUACCGGAGAAUGUUAUCACGGGAGACACACGGCGGGUGCUAACGUCCGUCGUGAAGAGGGAAACAACCCAGACCGCCAGCUAAGGUCCCAAAGUCAUGGUUAAGUGGGAAACGAUGUGGGAAGGCCCAGACAGCCAGGAUGUUGGCUUAGAAGCAGCCAUCAUUUAAAGAAAGCGUAAUAGCUCACUGGUCGAGUCGGCCUGCGCGGAAGAUGUAACGGGGCUAAACCAUGCACCGAAGCUGCGGCAGCGACACUAUGUGUUGUUGGGUAGGGGAGCGUUCUGUAAGCCUGUGAAGGUGUACUGUGAGGUAUGCUGGAGGUAUCAGAAGUGCGAAUGCUGACAUAAGUAACGAUAAAGCGGGUGAAAAGCCCGCUCGCCGGAAGACCAAGGGUUCCUGUCCAACGUUAAUCGGGGCAGGGUGAGUCGACCCCUAAGGCGAGGCCGAAAGGCGUAGUCGAUGGGAAACAGGUUAAUAUUCCUGUACUUGGUGUUACUGCGAAGGGGGGACGGAGAAGGCUAUGUUGGCCGGGCGACGGUUGUCCCGGUUUAAGCGUGUAGGCUGGUUUUCCAGGCAAAUCCGGAAAAUCAAGGCUGAGGCGUGAUGACGAGGCACUACGGUGCUGAAGCAACAAAUGCCCUGCUUCCAGGAAAAGCCUCUAAGCAUCAGGUAACAUCAAAUCGUACCCCAAACCGACACAGGUGGUCAGGUAGAGAAUACCAAGGCGCUUGAGAGAACUCGGGUGAAGGAACUAGGCAAAAUGGUGCCGUAACUUCGGGAGAAGGCACGCUGAUAUGUAGGUGAAGUCCCUCGCGGAUGGAGCUGAAAUCAGUCGAAGAUACCAGCUGGCUGCAACUGUUUAUUAAAAACACAGCACUGUGCAAACACGAAAGUGGACGUAUACGGUGUGACGCCUGCCCGGUGCCGGAAGGUUAAUUGAUGGGGUUAGCGGUAACGCGAAGCUCUUGAUCGAAGCCCCGGUAAACGGCGGCCGUAACUAUAACGGUCCUAAGGUAGCGAAAUUCCUUGUCGGGUAAGUUCCGACCUGCACGAAUGGCGUAAUGAUGGCCAGGCUGUCUCCACCCGAGACUCAGUGAAAUUGAACUCGCUGUGAAGAUGCAGUGUACCCGCGGCAAGACGGAAAGACCCCGUGAACCUUUACUAUAGCUUGACACUGAACAUUGAGCCUUGAUGUGUAGGAUAGGUGGGAGGCUUUGAAGUGUGGACGCCAGUCUGCAUGGAGCCGACCUUGAAAUACCACCCUUUAAUGUUUGAUGUUCUAACGUUGGCCCCUGAUCGGGGUUGCGGACAGUGUCUGGUGGGUAGUUUGACUGGGGCGGUCUCCUCCUAAAGAGUAACGGAGGAGCACGAAGGUUGGCUAAUCCUGGUCGGACAUCAGGAGGUUAGUGCAAUGGCAUAAGCCAGCUUGACUGCGAGCGUGACGGCGCGAGCAGGUGCGAAAGCAGGUCAUAGUGAUCCGGUGGUUCUGAAUGGAAGGGCCAUCGCUCAACGGAUAAAAGGUACUCCGGGGAUAACAGGCUGAUACCGCCCAAGAGUUCAUAUCGACGGCGGUGUUUGGCACCUCGAUGUCGGCUCAUCACAUCCUGGGGCUGAAGUAGGUCCCAAGGGUAUGGCUGUUCGCCAUUUAAAGUGGUACGCGAGCUGGGUUUAGAACGUCGUGAGACAGUUCGGUCCCUAUCUGCCGUGGGCGCUGGAGAACUGAGGGGGGCUGCUCCUAGUACGAGAGGACCGGAGUGGACGCAUCACUGGUGUUCGGGUUGUCAUGCCAAUGGCACUGCCCGGUAGCUAAAUGCGGAAGAGAUAAGUGCUGAAAGCAUCUAAGCACGAAACUUGCCCCGAGAUGAGUUCUCCCUGACUCCUUGA